CACGAUCUCGCGGUCCGUGAGUUCGAGCCCCACGUCGGGCUCUGGGCUGAUGGCUCAGAGCCUGGAGCCUGUUUCCGAUUCUGUGUCUCCCUCUCUCUCUGCCCCUCCCCCGUUCGUGCUCUGUUUCUCUCUGUCCCAAAAAUAAAUAAACGUUGAAAAAAAAAUUAAAAAAAAUUAAUUAUUAUUAUUUUUUUGCAUUUUACUCAGUCUUUUUUUCUUACGUUUAUUUAUUUUGAGAGAGAGAGAGAGAGAGAGAGAGAGAGAGAGAGAGAGAGAGAGAGAGAGAGAGAAUCCCGAGAAGGCUGAGAGAAUCCCCACACAGGGCUCUGUCCCACAAACCAUGAGAUGCUAACCCGAGCCCAAGUCAAGAGCUGGACGUUUGAAUUACUGCAGCCACCCAGGCGCCCCUGCCUUUCACUCAGCUUGCCUGCUGGAAUCAUCCUGGUACCUCUCGCUCUACACAAGGGGACCGACUUGAAUCUCUGGUACCAACAUUCUUGUCUACAUUGUUGUUGCCUCUUACACCUGCCUGGAUAGAGUUUCAGAAGCAACCGUAGAAAAUACGAUUGAAGUUUGCCAUAGCAAACAAGCUAUCAGUUUGGACUGCCAGUUUCUUCUGAUCAACAUACACGCUUUACAAAUGUAUGGCUGUAAGCAGGAAAAUAUUUUAAGCAAGAUAUGUCAUGUUCCUUAAUACCCUCUGAGUAGAGGUUUCACUGAAUACAUAACACACAUUAUGCAUUUUUAUCUCUCCAACCUUGCAAAAUUUUUCUUUUCAUCUACUUGACUUGGUGACCCUAGGACAACAGCUGCAUCUGCUUAUGGCCAGACAGAGAAUGAUAUUGAUACAUAAGAUACAAUAUCUAUUAGAUAAAUUUUUCAGGGAAAAUUUCUAAAUGAACUCUAGAGUGGGUAACAUUUUGGCCCUGGUAGCUAAUUUCGACAUAAUUAUGAUUAUGUCCUCAUUACCAAGUGGCAAGGACAGUCUUAUAACUUUUGACCAAUCAGGUCCUAAGACUUCUUCCUGGAAACAGGAUAAAGACAGGAACUAUGAGACAGAUAUUGAUGUUUUGUCUGUCUAUACGUAAGAAUUAUGAACAGAGCACCCAAUCAGGGAAGGAAGGAUAUGUUAAAACAGGUAAUACAAGACAAAUGAAGUUUAUAGCAAAUGGGAAGGGCACCUAAUAUUUGUUUUGUAAUUCCAGGGAAAGAUGCAGUAAUUUUAUUCCCAUAAGUGUAUCUCAGAGCAAGAGAAUAAUAACUCAACUAUCUAAGAUCCAGUAUUAACUAAUGGCAAAUAUGGGAAAAGUCAUCUGACCUGUUUCAUACAAAGAAUGAAAACUGACUUAUGCUGAUUUAUGGGUUCUGCCUAAAAACUUGAUCUGGGUUAUCUGGGAGAAAAGGUGUGUCAAGGCCACCUGAAUUCAACCAGUUAGAAGUAACAUCGGGUGCAUGAUUUGUGGACUAUAUAUUUACUCCAUUGUUUAUUUUUAAAUAUAUCUUGAGAGGCGCCU
rnacentral:lncRNA from 1 species